UACGUAGGGUGCGAGCGUUGUCCGGAAUUAUUGGGCGUAAAGAGCUUGUAGGCGGUUUGUCGCGUCUGCUGUGAAAAUCCGGGGCUCAACCCCGGACUUGCAGUGGGUACGGGCAGACUAGAGUGUGGUAGGGGAGACUGGAAUUCCUGGUGUAGCGGUGGAAUGCGCAGAUAUCAGGAGGAACACCGAUGGCGAAGGCAGGUCUCUGGGCCACUACUGACGCUGAGAAGCGAAAGCAUGGGGAGCGAACAGGA
rnacentral:rRNA from 1 species